rnacentral:lncRNA from 1 species
CAUUGUGACUUCACCCUUCUCUAGCCUCAGUAAUUAGUUCAAGAUGGGCGAACUGGUUUAAUUAAAGUGAAUUCAGGAGUUACUGGAGGAAAAUUUCUUUUUUUAAAGUGAAUUUGAACCUUGGAGGCUUUGGUGGUCUGAAGCUGCGGGCAGCCAUCUUGACACUACAUGGAGCCUGAGAGUUAAACCAAGAUGGAGAAGAGCAGAGGGCAGCAUGGGGUUACUGCGUCUUGAUGACGUUGCUUGAGGCCUAAAUCAAGCUUUGCAUAAAGCCAGAAAAAAACCUGCAAUUUUCAGAAAAGUAGAAGCUCCUUGGAGUCUGUGAUCUCACAGAUAGAACUGAAUCACCCUCUGUAGAAAGAGCAACAGAAGUGGACAUCACGUGUGACCAUCAGACUUCAAAGAAGGUGCUAGCCUAAGAGUGAGACAGAAACAUUUUGAUGUACUCUUUAAGCAAAGUUUCCUGUUCCUGAAGAAGAUGUGAUAUAUGGGAGGGAGAAGUAAUGAGAGGGCAGGACGAUUGUGGAGAGCCCACCCUCCUCUUCCCCACCAAGAGUUCAGAUGUUCCAAACCUAAUGUCAGGAAGCUACGUGGAAGUUUGGGUACACAGAGUUGUCCUUCUUCUUGAGAACCCCUGGCCACCAGUGGUUAAGCUAUGUUUGUCGUAGGAGUUGACUCUCUUUUCUGCCAGACUCUCUGACUUUCCCAUUGGACUCAUGCUGGUAUAUUUUCCUUUUUCUUGCUUGCCCAGUUGAGAAGGGUAUGAAGAGAAAGCCUUGCUGCUGACCGAGGUGAGAGUGUACAGAAUCUCUUUGAUAUCAUCCAGUGAGCUGCAACAACAGUAGAAACCACCACUGACAUUAUGUUAACUUUAACAUAUAUUUUCUUAAUAAGGUCUAUAACGUUGCAUACCAACAUGCUGAAGGAAGUGUCAGUUAUCAUCUAAAUAAUACCUGGCUCAUAGUAGGUGUUCUGUAAGUAUUUUUCAGAUGUGUGAAUUGCUAAAGUCUGGUCAUUAUAUUCUUGGAGUUUGUUAUAUUCUUGGGUGCUCUAAAAAUGAGGAUUGAUUUGGUGUUGAUGCAAUCUCACUUUGGAAUUCAUUCCACUUGAUAAUGAAUGGUGUGCAUUUAAAAGGCAACUUCCCAGGGCAUAGAGAGGGACUGAGGGGUAUCACAAAGCCAACUGGGCAGCCAGGAGUGAGUCUGUGGUCUUUCAGUUCCAUAGUCCAGUCAGAUGAGCUGAAUGUGAGAAACAAGGGACAUUCUUACAAGUCAUUCACUAUAGAGAAGCCAGUCACACUUUAAAAUUAUGUCAGAUCAUGUCCCUCCCCUGAUUAAAGCCUGCAAUGGUUUCCCAACACACUUGAAAUAAAACCAAUGUCCUAACCAGGUUCUAGAAGCCUAUGUGAUCUGGGUCCUGCCUAACUCUAGCCCUUGUGUUAUGAUACCUUUUCACUUCAAAUACCCAAAGUCCUCUUUUGUUAAACCAAUCCCUCCAAAGGUGCUUGAGUUUUAUGUCCAGAGAAAUUGUCCACAAAAUAUUAUGCUUACAAAGGUCCUGAUCAGGGCCUUUCUGGUGCCCUUCCAGGUAGAUGCGCCAACAUUCAAAGACUUGAUAGAGACGAGGGAGAAUCGAGGAUUCACAAGGAGUCAAGUGCUGAGGGGUGAAACUGUUGAAGUGCAUUUAGGUUCCUUCCCACUAACAGCUAAUUCAGUGUUAUGAUGCACAGGAUUUAACAGGAAUAGUCCAAACAAGCUGUGCCUAAGGAAACAAUGAAAGAUUUCACCACUUAACUGGGAACAUGAAACUGCUGUGACACUGACGAUGCCUCAGAAGUAGCUGUUCAUAAUGACAACUGCGGAAGGCUUUACAUUUAAUUAGUUACUCCUCAGCUGGUAGAGGUAGCUUUAUGUGGAGUCAGAUCUGGUAACUAACUUUUAAACCAUGAUUUCAGGUAUUGGGAAGGUCUUGCUUUUCCUGACCGAGCAAAAUACUUUGCCUGCCUGCUCAGUGGUUUAGAAAAUUAUUUUAAGAGCAGACAGAUUUAUGAUAGACCCAUAGAAUGAAAUUCUAUAGAUUGAGAAUGAUCUAGAUUUAUAUUUAAUGGCAUG